rnacentral:rRNA from 1 species
UCCAGACUCCUACGGGAGGCAGCAGUGGGGAAUAUUGGACAAUGGGGGGAACCCUGAUCCAGCGACGCCGCGUGAGUGAAGAAGUAUUUCGGUAUGUAAAGCUCUCUCAGCAGGGAAGAAAGAAAUGACGGUACCUGACUAAGAAGCCCCGGCUAACUACGUGCCAGCAGCCGCGGUAAUACGUAGGGGGCAAGCGUUAUCCGGAAUUACUGGGUGUAAAGGGAGCGUAGACGGUGAUGCAAGUCUGGAGUGAAAGGCGGGGGCCCAACCCCCGGACUGCUCUGGAAACUGUGUAACUUGAGUGCAGGAGAGGUAAGCGGAAUUCCUAGUGUAGCGGUGAAAUGCGUAGAUAUUAGGAGGAACACCAGUGGCGAAGGCGGCUUACUGGACUGUAACUGACGUUGAGGCUCGAAAGCGUGGGGAGCAAACAGGAUUAGAUACCCGCGUAGA